GGUUUCCUACGGGAGGCAGCAGUGGGGGAUAUUGCACAAUGGAGGAAACUCUGAUGCAGCGACGCCGCGUGAGGGAAGACGGUCUUCGGAUUGUAAACCUCUGUCUUUGGGGAAGAAAAUGACGGUACCCAAAGAGGAGGCUCCGGCUAACUACGUGCCAGCAGCCGCGGUAAUACGUAUGGUGCAAGCGUUAUCCGGAUUUACUGGGUGUAAAGGGAGCGUAGGCGGCAAGGUAAGCCAGAAGUGAAAGCCCGCGGCUCAACUGCGGGACUGCUUUUGGAACUAUCUAGCUAGAUUGCAGGAGG
rnacentral:rRNA from 1 species